rnacentral:rRNA from 1 species
AGGAGAAGUCGUAACAAGGUUUCCGUAGGUGAACCUGCGGAAGGAUCAUUGUCGAAACCUGCCCAGCAGAGCGACCCGUGAACACGUUCAACCUCGUGGGUGCUGGGGCGUCGCUCGGUGCCUCGUGCGCCUGCUCGCCCCUCUCCCAGGCCGGGGUGCUCCCACUCGUGGGCGGUUCCCCCGGCUAAACAACGAACCCCGGCGCGUAAAUGCGUCAAGGAAUAUAAACWUUAUGUGCGCGCUCUCCUGUCGCCCGGUUAGCCGGGCGUUGGAGUUGUGCCAUGUCUUAACAAUAAACGACUCUCGGCAACGGAUAUCUCGGCUCUCGCAUCGAUGAAGAACGUAGCGAAAUGCGAUACUUGGUGUGAAUUGCAGAAUCCCGUGAACCAUCGAGUUUUUGAACGCAAGUUGCGCCCGAAGCUUCYGCUGAGGGCACGUCUGCCUGGGCGUCACGCAUCGCGUCUCCCCCACAAUCCACCUCGGUGGAGGGGAAGGAGGAUGGUUUCCCGCGACUCACCGGUCGCGGCUGGCCUAAAAUCGGAGCCCUCGGCAUCGGGAUGUCGCGGCGAUAGGUGGUGAACAAGGCCUCGGCCAAGCAAGCAACCCGUCGCGCAUGCCGUGCCAGUAUGGGCUCGCAGGACCCUUUGACGCUGCCUUMGSGGCAGCCAAACCGUUGCGACCC